GGGCAUUUAGCUCAGUUGGUUAGAGCGCUACAUUCACAUUGUAGAGGUCAGAGGUUCAAGUCCUCUAAUGCCCA
rnacentral:tRNA from 1 species